ensembl:snRNA U6 U6 spliceosomal RNA
GUGCUCACUUCAGCAACACAUAUACUAAAAACUUGGAAUGAUACAGAGAAGAUUAGCAUAGUCCCUGCACAAAGAUGACACACAAACUUAUGAAGCGUUCCAUUAAAAA